rnacentral:snRNA from 1 species
UAAAAGGGUCAGUUGGCUAAAUAUGCCACGCUUGCCCAUAGGUGAGUGCUGUAUGGCUAUCAAGACAUAUGGCUGACAUAAUUACUGGAAAUUUAUAGGGUCGGCUCCCUUGGCUGACCCUCCA